GGGAGCUUGCUUUUCUGGUUAGUGGCGAACGGGUGAGUAACGCGUGAGUAACCUGCCCUUCACUCUGGGAUAACUCCGGGAAACCGGGGCUAAUACUGGAUAUGACCUGCUCGGGCAUCCGAUGUGGGUGGAAAGAUUUAUUGGUGGGGGAUGGACUCGCGGCCUAUCAGCUUGUUGGUGAGGUAAUGGCUUACCAAGGCGACGACGGGUAGCCGGCCUGAGAGGGCGAUCGGCCACACUGGGACUGAGACACGGCCCAGACUCCUACGGGAGGCAGCAGUGGGGAAUAUUGCACAAUGGGCGAAAGCCUGAUGCAGCGACGCCGCGUGAGGGAUGAAGGCCUUCGGGUUGUAAACCUCUUUCAGCAGGGAAGAAGUGGCCGGGUUUUCUCGGUUGUGACGGUACCUGCAGAAGAAGCACCGGCUAACUACGUGCCAGCAGCCGCGGUAAUACGUAGGGUGCGAGCGUUGUCCGGAAUUAUUGGGCGUAAAGAGCCUGUAGGCGGUUUGUCGCGUCUGCUGUGAAAUUUCGGGGCUCAACCCCGAACUUGCAGUGGGUACGGGCAGACUAGAGUGUGGUAGGGGAGACUGGAAUUCCUGGUGUAGCGGUGAAAUGCGCAGAUAUCAGGAGGAACACCGAUGGCGAAGGCAGGUCUCUGGGCCACUACUGACGCUGAGAAGCGAAAGCAUGGGGAGCGAACAGGAUUAGAUACCCUGGUAGUCCAUGCCGUAAACGUUGGGAACUAGGUGUGGGUCUCAUUCCACGAGAUCCGUGCCGCAGCUAACGCAUUAAGUUCCCCGCCUGGGGAGUAC
rnacentral:rRNA from 1 species